rnacentral:rRNA from 1 species
UACGAAGGGGGCUAGCGUUGCUCGGAAUCACUGGGCGUAAAGCGCGCGUAGGCGGAUCGUUAAGUCGGGGGUGAAAUCCUGGAGCUCAACUCCAGAACUGCCUUUGAUACUGGGAAUCUCGAGUCCGGGAGAGGUGAGUGGAACUGCGAGUGUAGAGGUGAAAUUCGUAGAUAUUCGCAAGAACACCAGUGGCGAAGGCGGCUUG